GCACUGCUGAGGAGUCCCGUGAUGGGACGAAACGGCCGUCCAGUGU
rfam:Schistosoma mansoni strain Puerto Rico chromosome 6, complete genome